rnacentral:rRNA from 1 species
GUCGAGAAUCUUCGGCAAUGGGCGCAAGCCUGACCGAGCGACGCCGCGUGGAGGACGAAGGCCUUCGGGUUGUAAACUCCUGUCGAGGGGGAGGAAGGCGCAAGCUUGACCGAUCCCUGGAGGAAGCACGGGCUAAGUUCGUGCCAGCAGCCGCGGUAAGACGAACCGUGCGAACGUUAUUCGGAAUCACUGGGCUUAAAGCGCGUGUAGGCGGGCCGCCACGUCGGCUGCUGAAAUCCCCCGGCUCAACCGGGGAACGGGCACCGAUACGAGCGGCCUCGAGGGGGGUAGGGGGCACUGGAACUUCCGGUGGAGCGGUGAAAUGCGUUGAGAUCGGAAGGAACGCCCGUGGCGAAAGCGAGUGCCUGGACCCUUUCUGACGCUGAGACGCGAAAGCCAGGGGAGCGAACGGG